rnacentral:misc_RNA from 1 species
CCGAAUCGUCAAACACGGGUUGUUGCUGGCCCCUGAACGGGGGCACGUGCACGCUCUGUUUACGCAUCCACUCACACCUGUGCACCCUCGGUAGUUCUAUGGUUCGGGAGACCCUGUCUUCCUUCCGUGGCUCUACGUCUUUACACACACACAAUGUCUCAUGGAAUGUUUUUCGCGUUUAACGCAAUACAAUA